rnacentral:tRNA from 1 species
AGAUAUUAGUAAAAUCAAUUACAUAACUUUGUCAAAGU